rnacentral:rRNA from 1 species
GUGUCAGCCGCCGCGGUAAUACGAAGGGGGCUAGCGUUGUUCGGAAUUACUGGGCGUAAAGCGCACGUAGGCGGAUGUGCCAGUCAGGGGUGAAAUCCCGAGGCUCAACCUCGGAACUGCCUCCGAUACAGCACGUCUCGAGUCCGGAAGAGGUGAGUGGAAUUCCUAGUGUAGAGGUGAAAUUCGUAGAUAUUAGGAAGAACACCAGUGGCGAAGGCGGCUCACUGGUCCGGUACUGACGCUGAGGUGCGAAAGCGUGGGGAGCAAACAGGAUUAGAAACCCUAGUAGUCC